UACGUAGGGGGCGAGCGUUGUCCGGAUUUAUUGGGCGUAAAGAGCGUGUAGGCGGCUUGGUAGGUCUGCUGUGAAAGUCCAGGGCUCAACCCUGGGAUGCCGGUGGAUACUGUCGAGCUCGAGUCCGGAAGAGGCGAGUGGAAUUCCUGGUGUAGCGGUGAAAUGCGCAGAUAUCAGGAGGAACACCAAUGGCGAAGGCAGCUCGCUGGGACGUGACUGACGCUGAGACGCGAAAGCGUGGGGAGCAAACAGG
rnacentral:rRNA from 1 species